UGCAAGUUGAGCGCUGAAGGUUGGUACUUGUACCAACUGGAUGAGCAGCGAACGGGUGAGUAACGCGUGGGGAAUCUGCCUUUGAGCGGGGGACAACAUUUGGAAACGAAUGCUAAUACCGCAUAAAAACUUUAAACACAAGUUUUAAGUUUGAAAGAUGCAAUUGCAUCACUCAAAGAUGAUCCCGCGUUGUAUUAGCUAGUUGGUGAGGUAAAGGCUCACCAAGGCGAUGAUACAUAGCCGACCUGAGAGGGUGAUCGGCCACAUUGGGACUGAGACACGGCCCAAACUCCUACGGGAGGCAGCAGUAGGGAAUCUUCGGCAAUGGACGAAAGUCUGACCGAGCAACGCCGCGUGAGUGAAGAAGGUUUUCGGAUCGUAAAACUCUGUUGGUAGAGAAGAACGUUGGUGAGAGUGGAAAGCUCAUCAAGUGACGGUAACUACCCAGAAAGGGACGGCUAACUACGUGCCAGCAGCCGCGGUAAUACGUAGGUCCCGAGCGUUGUCCGGAUUUAUUGGGCGUAAAGCGAGCGCAGGUGGUUUAUUAAGUCUGGUGUAAAAGGCAGUGGCUCAACCAUUGUAUGCAUUGGAAACUGGUAGACUUGAGUGCAGGAGAGGAGAGUGGAAUUCCAUGUGUAGCGGUGAAAUUGCGUAGA
rnacentral:rRNA from 1 species